GACGAACGCUGGCGGCGUGCUUAACACAUGCAAGUCGAACGAUGAAGCUAGAGCUUGCUCUGGUGAAUUAGUGGCGAACGGGUGAGUAACACGUGAGUAACCUGCCCCGAACUCUGGGAUAACUGCUGGAAACGGUAGCUAAUACUGGAUACGACCUACGAAGGCAUCUUCUGUAGGUGGAAAGAAUUUCGGUCAAGGAUGGACUCGCGGCCUAUCAGCUAGUUGGUGAGGUAACGGCUCACCAAGGCGACGACGGGUAGCCGGCCUGAGAGGGUGACCGGCCACACUGGGACUGAGACACGGCCCAGACUCCUACGGGAGGCAGCAGUGGGGAAUAUUGCACAAUGGGCGCAAGCCUGAUGCAGCAACGCCGCGUGAGGGAUGACGGCCUUCGGGUUGUAAACCUCUUUUAGUAGGGAAGAAGCGAAAGUGACGGUACCUGCAGAAAAAGCACCGGCUAACUACGUGCCAGCAGCCGCAGUAA
rnacentral:rRNA from 1 species